rnacentral:pre_miRNA from 1 species
AAUCCUCCAGAAGCAGGUGAGCCACUGACUAACGCACAUUGUGCUGUUAAAGACUCCACUGUGCGUGUGACAGCGGCUAACCUGCUUUUCGGAC